ACCAAAGCCAAAAAUAAAAAUCUACUUUAAAGUUUAAACACCUAAGUUAGAAAAUAUGGCUUCCAAGAAAACUACUACUCUUGCUCUAUUUAUCCUUGUGAACCUUCUUUUUUUCUCUCUUGUGAGUGCAUGUGGCACUUGUCCAAGUCCAAAACCAAAGCCAAAGCCAAAGCCAAAGCCAACUCCAACUCCAAAGCCAACCCCGAGCCCCGGCUCAAAAGGCAAGUGCCCAAUCGAUGCACUAAAAUUAGGUAUUUGUGCUAAUGUUCUUGGAAAUUUACUUGGAGUUGUACUUGGAAAUCCUCCAAAGAAACCUUGUUGUUCUCUCAUUCAAGGACUUGUUGAUCUUGAGGCUGCUCUUUGUCUUUGCACUGCCCUUAAAGCAAAUAUUCUUGGGAUUAACCUUAAUGUCCCUAUUUCUCUAAGCCUUCUUCUUAAUGUUUGUGGCAAAAAAGUUCCAUCUGG
rnacentral:lncRNA from 1 species